rnacentral:rRNA from 1 species
AGUGACGAUAGCCUAGGAGAUACACCUGUUCCCAUGCCGAACACAGCAGUUAAGCCCUAGAACGCCGGAAGUAGUUGGGGGUUGCCCCCUGUGAGAUAUGGAAGUCGCU